CUGUCUAAACCUUCAAUAUCUUUAUGAAUUCGAAAUGACAUAUUACAUUUAGGGAAUACUGGAAGAGUAAAUUUCCCAAAUGUAAUUCUUUCUUGCUCCAUCUGUAAACAAAAUUCAAAUAUUAGUAUCUCUAUUGAAGAAUAAAACAAAUAUCUAAUGAUUUUGUCUUUAUCAUACCAAAUUUGAAAAUAUAUUGAGUUUAUGAGAGGAACAUAAUUUCUAAUAAUGAUGUUAAAAUGAGGUUUUGAAUAUUUUGAAAUCACAUUUAUUGACUUAUAUGAGCAUGCACAAAUACCAUCACAAUCUUUUUGAUUAUCUGAUUCUUCUUCUAGACUUGACUCGUCACUUGAUAUUUCUUGAGUUAUAAGGAUUUGAUUAUCUUCUUCUGAUUCAUAAUUUUCACUUGAUUCAUCAUUUUCUUUAUCAAUCAUUAAUCCUAUCAUUAGAUUUUUGAGUUUAUCACUUAUUUCUAAUGAAUUGAUUUUAUUUUCUAAUUGACAAUCUCUUGAAUAAUGACCUACUUUUCCACAUUUAUAACAAGUAGGUGUUUUCUUUUUUAAAUCUGAGGAUUGUUUUUAUCAGUGUUAUGAGUGAUUUCAACUGAAUCGGUGUCUACCAGGAUGAACUCAUAGAAUUGACGAGUUUUCAAAGGAUCAUUUGAAUUAAAGUUGACUCCUUGAGGAAAGAUGUAAGGAAGAAUUUUAGGAAUCUCUUCAAAAUUGAACUCUGGCUCAAUGAAAGCAAUUUCUAAUGUUUUGGGUUUUUUGACAUAUUGACUAUAGGAAUAUGAAGGAGAAGGAAACUGAGAAGGAGAAGGUAAUGUUGAAAUAGUGUUGGGGCUUGAUUUACUCUGAACAACAAUAUUUUUAGGGGAUGAUUUAGAAGCUUGAAUAAAACUUUUUGAAGGUUGAAGAGGAGGAAAAUCUGGACUCAAAACUUGAAAAGAAUUUGAUGUCUGCAAAGGAAAAGUAGGACGAACAUUUGAAAAGUUUGAAAUCAUAGCAUAUGAUGCUUUGGUUUUCUUGGAUGAUGAAGGAAGUUGAGGCCUAACGGGAGUACCCAUUAGGAUGGAGAAGGAUCCUUACCCUGCAAAAACUCCCGAGUAAGGAAGUCAGGAAGGGAAUUCAACUCUCCUUUGAUAAAUUCGAUUUCAAAAUCAAAGUUUGAAAGUAAAGCUUGCCAUCUUGCAAAAAUUUGUUUUGAAACCAAAUUUUUAACAUCUUUUUGUAAAAUAUCUUUUGCAGCUUUGCAAUCGAUUUUCAAAAGAAAUUUCUUGUUUAUCAAAUCACUUUGAAAUUUUGAAAUACACAAAACUAUUGAUAAAACUUCUUUUUUGACAGUUGAAUAAUUUAUUUGAGCGCCCAACCAGAUCCCUGAAUGAUAUCUAACUAUAUGCACUUGAUUGUUAUAUUCUUGCUUUAAUAUGCCUCCAUAACCUAAAUUAGAUGCAUCUGAUUCUACAAUGAGUAAUGCAUUUGGAUGAGGAAUGCUGAUGCAUGGUAAUCUUUUGACUCUUUGUUUAAUUUCUUUAACCAGACUGGUAUGAUGCUCAUUCCAUGCAGGUGCAUUUUUUGUAAGUCUUUUGUAUAAUGGUUCACAAAUGAUUCUCAAAUCUUUGAAGUAAUCAGAAACAUAAUUUAAACAUCCUAGAAAUCUUUGCAAUUGUUUUUUAUCUUUUAUUUCAUCAGGAAAUUUGUCAGCGAAUUCUAUUGAUCUUUGAAUCGGUUUUGUUUUUCCUUGAAAAAUUUCAUGACCUAAAAAUCUGAUUUUUGUUUGAAACAAUUUCAUUUUUGGAGCAGAACAAGCCAUUCCAUUUGCUUUAAUGACAUUAAAAAACUUUUUCAAAUGAAUAAAAUGUUUUUCUAAUGAAUCAGAAAAUACUAAAACAUCGUCAAUAUAUACAAUGAUGAACUGAAAAUGAGGAUUAAAAAUAUCAUUCAUAAUAUUUUGAAAUUCAGAAGGGGCAUUUUUGAGACCAAAAGGCAUGACAUUCCAUUCAUAAUGACCAAAAGGGACAGUAAAAGCAGUUUUGUACCUAUCUUCUUCUUUAAUUUGAACUUGCCAAAAUCCUGAUUUCAUAUCAAAUUUUGAAUAAAUGACAGAACUAUGAAGUCUUUUAAGUAAAUCUUGCUUAUUAGGAAUAGGGUAUCUUAUCCAUUGUAAUACUUUAAUUAAAGGUUUAUAAUUAAUGACUAAUCUAGGUGCUCCUCUUUCUAUCUCAGCAGCAUUUUGAACAUAAAAAGCAGCACAACUCCAAGGAGAUUUUGAGGGUCUAAUUAAUUUCUUCUUUAAUAAUGAAUCAAUUUCUUGUUUGCAAUAUUUCAAAAGUUUUUCAUUCAUUUGAAUCGGCCUAGCCUUAGUAGGAAUUUUGGACUCAUCAAAAUUUUGAAUGUAAGGCAAACUUAUCUCAUGUUUCUUUCUUGACCAAAAAGCAUUAGGAAGAUCAGAACAAAUUUCAUUUUGAAAAAGAUCUUGAAUCUCUUUAAUUUUCUUUUGAACUUUAUCUUCUAAGAGUUGUUCAUCUACCUUUUUAUAUUGAAUUUCUUUUGAUAGAUAAUUUAUAUGAGCUUUCUUUCUUUGAAUUAAAUUUAUGUUCUUAUUUAUUGAAUCACUUUGAACUUGAUGUAUUUCUUUUUUAGUUAAUGGAUAUAUAAAGGGAAAAAAUAUGGUAUUUCCUAAUAUUGUAGUUUUGACACCUUCAUCAUUUACUUGAAAAGGGUAAAGUAAGGUAAUAAAAGGAGUUCCUAAUAUUAGAGGUUCAUUCAUAUUUUGUACUAAUAUAAAUUGAGUUCUAAAACAAUAAUUAUCUUGACAUAUAUGAACAUUUUGAAGUUUAUAUUUUAUUUCUAAUUUUCCUUUAUUUGCAGCAAAAAGUUCUUGUCCUGUUUUUUCAUAAUAUUUAGUAGGAAUUAUUCCUUCUUGAAUACAAUUCAUAUCAGCUCCCGAGUCUAUUAAUGCUACUAUUUCUAUUUCAAAAUCUUCAACUAUAAUUUUUAUAUUUGUAUACCAUCUUUGAAAAUAUAUUUUUGAUAUUGUAUUUAUAAAUGAUUCUAUAGGAGUUAUUUUAUUAGGUAUUAUUAUUCCUGGUUCUUGNNNNNNNNNNNNNNNNNNNNNNNNNNNNNNNNNNNNNNNNNNNNNNNNNNNUAUUUGAAAAACCAAAGGAAAAAAGGAAUAGUCAUCUUAACUUGUUGCAUAUAUUUUUCAUAUUGUUUUCUUAAUGCAUUUCUAACUUGAGGAGGAAGUUGUUGAAAAUAAUUUCUUUUUGCCGUAUUUUCAGGAGAAAAAUAAUUUGCUUUAAUUAAUUCUACUUCAGGAACAAAAUGAUUUCUUUUAAUGUAUUUUUUCUAAUGAUAUUUAUGUUUAAAGGAGGUUUAUCUUGAAAGAAAAUUUUUGACUCAGACUCUUCUUCAAAAAGAGAAAUUUCAGGAACAAAGUUUGAACUAUUUUUUAGUUGAUUUUCUAUUUGAUUUAAUUCUUCAUUAAAUUUUGAAUUAUUAAAUUUUAUAUGAUGACUCCAUGAUGAUGCAGCUACUGAUGCAGAUGAUGAUGCAGUAGAUGCAUUGAAAAUCUCAUUAUCUUAUAUGAAGAACUUUCUAAAUUAUAUGCAGAAUUAUUUAAUGCAGAUGCAGAACUUUCAUGGGACCUAAGAGAUCUGGAAGAACUAUUUCUACUUAAUUCCCUAAUAAUAUUACUCAUUGUCACAGAAAAUAAUCACAAUUUUAUCCUUAAUCAAUUCAGAUAAUUUCCUGAACAGGGACCACCACAAGCGGAUCAACACGGGACUUACGCUCCUUCUGCCCUUAAACACCGCUUAUCACAGGCUGACCAAACCGUUCACAGGAAAUUCAACCCGAACUAAGUCAGGACUAAAUCUGCGAUUAAUCACUGUUCCAACUCGUAACAUCACUCGGUUCUCAAGCAGAAAAUGGCUCUGAUACCAUUUGCACCCAGGACAUACAACAGUUCGUGCAUGCAAUAAUUAAGUAAUAAUUAAGCAAUAAUUAGCAAUAAUUAAAUCUGUCUAAUUAUCUCCAAGCAUAAAAACUGAAAUAUUUAAUGUCUAAUACUGUCUAAUUUAUUGCAGAAAUUUAAGCAUAAUAAAACAAAUAUUUGAAUCUGAAAAUAUUGUUUAUUGAAAAUAUACCUUGAUUACAGAGAGCUGAUGACUACAGGUUGUUGACAGCAGAGGAAUGACUCUAAUUCAAAAAGAAAAUUACAAAAGAAAAUUUUUGAACUCUCAGAAAUUUUUUGAAACUAUCUCUUGGCUGUUGGAACUCUCCCAACUCUUGGAACUCUUGAACCCUUGCCGACCUCUC
rnacentral:lncRNA from 1 species